AGCAAUACAUCGCCGGCGACCGGCGCACGGGUGCGUAACACGUAUGGAACUGGCCCUGCACUGGGGGAUAGCCCGGAGAAAUCCGGAUUAAUACCCCAUAACAUACGAGGAGGCAUCUCCUUGUUUUGAAAGAAUUUCGGUGCAGGAUAGGCAUGCGUCCGAUUAGCUAGUUGGUGAGGUAAUGGCUCACCAAGGCGACGAUCGGUAGGGGGCCUGAGAGGGUUAUCCCCCACACUGGUACUGAGACACGGACCAGACUCCUACGGGAGGCAGCAGUGAGGAAUAUUGCGCAAUGGAGGCAACUCUGUCGCAGCCAUGCCGCGUGCAGGAAGACGGCCCUACGGGUUGUAAACUGCUUUUAUUCGGGAAGAAACCCCUCGACGUGUCGAGGGUUGACGGUACCGAAGGAAUAAGCACCGGCUAACUUCGUGCCAGCAGCC
rnacentral:rRNA from 1 species